CAUCUUGCGCAGUGGCAAUAUCGUAACCAAUGAAGGUCUCCUGAGGUGCGAUUAUUGCUAGUUGGAAACUUUUAUUAUUAAUUAUUCGCAAAUGAUUUUUUGAAAACUUUUAUUUACCAAAUUUUUGUUUAACUCUCUGGUU
rnacentral:snRNA from 1 species